AUGAUGGACAGAAAGCUGUAGUUGAAAGGAUAAUUGAUGGACUGACAGAGUUUGAGAAGUUAGCAGACGACAAGGUAGAGGGGAACAUCCCCGGGGACAGCAGUGGUGAUAGCAAUGGGCUCCAACGGGUUAGCGACUGUUCUUCAACCCCACUCACAGACAUACAGACAGAGGAUAAGGACAAGUCUACCCGGAAGCGGAAGAGGCCAGAUUGCUCUUUUACGCCUUCAAAGAGACUGAAGUCUGCAUUGUUUGCACCAGCCGAGAUUGAAGUACAGUGCCUGGUGCGGAAGUUUGCCGCCAUGAGCGUGUAAGCCCCAGUAGA